ncrna:Clostridium perfringens str. 13 Moco (molybdenum cofactor) riboswitch
AUUAGUAUAACUCUCCAAGCUUAAAGAUCUAAGGAGAAGGUUCUAUGAUUUUUAAGCCUGGAUUACUAAAUUAUUUAACAUUAAGUUUAAUAAGAACUUAAAUUGUUAAUUGGUUUAAUUGGGGUAAUCCACAGGGUAAGGUUUGAAAGAAUUUUGCCUCCACGUAUUUUGGGAAGGAGAAUAAGCAAAAGUAAA